rnacentral:rRNA from 1 species
GAUGAACGCUGGCGGCGUGCCUAAUACAUGCAAGUCGAGCGAACGGACGAGAAGCUUGCUUCUCUGAUGUUAGCGGCGGACGGGUGAGUAACACGUGGAUAACCUACCUAUAAGACUGGGAUAACUUCGGGAAACCGGAGCUAAUACCGGAGGAUAUUUUGAACCGCAUGGUUCAAAGGUGAAAGACGGUCUUGCUGUCACUUAUAGAUGGAUCCGCGCUGCAUUAGCUAGUUGGUAAGGUAACGGCUUACCAAGGCAACGAUGCAUAGCCGACCUGAGAGGGUGAUCGGCCACACUGGAACUGAGACACGGUCCAGACUCCUACGGGAGGCAGCAGUAGGGAAUCUUCCGCAAUGGGCGAAAGCCUGACGGAGCAACGCCGCGUGAGUGAUGAAGGUCUUCGGAUCGUAAAACUCUGUUAUUAGGGAAGAACAGAUGUGUAAGUAACUGUGCACAUCUUGACGGUACCUAAUCAGAAAGCCACGGCUAACUACGUG